rnacentral:rRNA from 1 species
CACAAGCGGUGGAUGAUGUGGUUUAAUUCGAUGCAACGCGAAAACCUUACCACCUUUGACAUGUACGGAAUCCUUUAGAGAUAGAGGAGUGCUCGAAAGAGAGCCGUAACACAGGUGCUGCAUGGCUGUCGUCAGCUCGUGUCGUGAGAUGUUGGGUUAAGUCCCGCAACCGAGCCGCAACCCUUGUCAUUAGUUGCUACAUUCAGUUGGGCACUCUAAUGAGACUGCCGGUGACAAACCGGAGGAAGGUGGGGAUGACGUCAAGUCCUCAUGGCCCUUAUAGGUGGGGCUACACACGUCAUACAAUGGCUGGUACAGAGGGUUGCCAACCCGGCGAGGGGGAGCUAAUCCCAUAAAACCAGUCGUAGUCCGGAUCGCAGUCUGCAACUCGACUGCGUGAAGUCGGAAUCGCUAGUAAUCGCGGAUCAGAAUGUCGCGGUGAAUACGUUCCCGGGUCUU